rnacentral:rRNA from 1 species
GACGGAGGGGGCAAGCGUUGCUCGGAAUCACUGGGCGUAAAGGGCGCGUAGGCGGGGAGGUAAGUCGGGUGUGAAAUCCCUCGGCCCAACCGAGGAACUGCGCCCGAGACUGCUUCUCUUGAGUCCCGGAGAGGAAGAUGGAAUUCCCGGUGUAGCGGUGAAAUGUGUAGAGAUCGGGAGGAACACCGGUGGCGAAGGCGGCAUCCUGGACCGGUAUUGACGCUGAGGAGCGAAAGCCAGGGGAGCAAACGGG